AGCGAACGCUGGCGGCAGGCCUAACACAUGCAAGUCGAACGGACCCUUCGGGGUUAGUGGCGGACGGGUGAGUAACACGUGGGAACGUGCCCUUUGGUUCGGAACAACUCAGGGAAACUUGAGCUAUUACCGAAUGUGCCCUUUGGGGGAAAGAUUUAUCGCCAUUGGAGCGGCCCGCGUCUGAUUAGCUAGUUGGUGGGGUAAUGGCCUACCAAGGCUACGAUCAGUAGCUGGUCUGAGAGGAUGAUCAGCCACAUUGGGGCUGAGACACGGCCCAAACUCCUACGGGAGGCAGCAGUGGGGAAUCUUGCGCAAUGGGCGAGAGCCUGACGCAGCCAUGCCGCGUGAAUGAUGAAGGUCUUAGGAUUGUAAAAUUCUUUCACCGGGGACGAUAAUGACGGUACCCGGAGAAGAAGCCCCGGCUAACUUCGUGCCAGCAGCCGCCGCUGUAA
rnacentral:rRNA from 1 species